rnacentral:rRNA from 1 species
GCUCAGGAUGAACGCUGGCGGUAUGCUUAACACAUGCAAGUCGAACGAUGUUUUAGGACAUAGUGGCGGACGGGUGAGUAACGCGUAAGAAUCUACCUUCAGGUUUGGGACAACCAUUGGAAACGAUGGCUAAUACCGAAUGUGCCGAGAGGUGAAAGGCUUGCUGCCUGAAGAAGAGCUUGCGUCUGAUUAGCUAGUUGGUGGGGUAAGAGCCUACCAAGGCGACGAUCAGUAGCUGGUCUGAGAGGAUGAUCAGCCACACUGGGACUGAGACACGGCCCAGACUCCUACGGGAGGCAGCAGUGGGGAAUUUUCCGCAAUGGGCGAAAGCCUGACGGAGCAAUACCGCGUGAGGGAGGAAGGCUCUUGGGUUGUAAACCUCUUUUCUCAGGGAAGAAAAAAAUGACGGUACCUGAGGAAUAAGCAUCGGCUAACUCCGUGCCAGCAGCCGCGGUAAUACGGAGGAUGCAAGCGUUAUCCGGAAUGAUUGGGCGUAAAGGGUCCGCAGGUGGUAGUGUAAGUCUGCUGUUAAAGAGUCACGCUCAACGUGAUAAGAGCAGUGGAAACUACACAACUAGAGUACGGUAGGGGCAGAAGGAAUUCCUGGUGUAGCGGUGAAAUGCGUAGAUAUCAGGAAGAACACCGGUGGCGAAAGCGUUCUGCUAGACCUGUACUGACACUGAGGGACGAAAGCUAGGGGAGCGAAUGGGAUUAGAUACCCCAGUAGUCCUAGCCGUAAACGAUGGAUACUAGGUGUGGCUUGUAUCGACCCGAGCCGUACCGUAGCUAACGCGUUAAGUAUCCCGCCUGGGGAGUACGCACGCAAGUGUGAAACUUAAAG